UACGUAGGGGGCAAGCGUUGUCCGGAUUUAUUGGGCGUAAAGAGCGUGUAGGCGGCCAGAUAGGUCCGUUGUGAAAACUCGAGGCUCAACCUCGAGACGCCGAUGGAAACCAUUUGGCUAGAGUCCGGAAGAGGAGAGUGGAAUUCCUGGUGUAGCGGUGAAAUGCGCAGAUAUCAGGAGGAACACCGGUGGCGAAGGCGGCAUCCUGGACCGGUAUUGACGCUGAUGCGCGAAAGCCAGGGGAGCAAACGGG
rnacentral:rRNA from 1 species